CAAUAGCGUAUAUUAAAGUUGUUGCAGUUAAAAAGCUCGUAGUUGGAUUUCUGGUUGAAGCGACCGGUCGGGCGUUGAUUCGUCUGCACUGGAGUCGGUUUUGGCCAUCCUCUAGGAAAGUGCGUCUGGUAUUAAGUUGUCGGGCGUAUGAUCCUGGUCUUUUACUGUGAAAAAAUCAGAACGUUCAAAGUAAGCAUUUAGCUUUGAAUGUAUUAGCAUGGAAUAAUGAAAUAGGACUUAGGUACUACUUUGUUGGUUUAUGCACCUAGGUAAUGAUUAAUAGGGAUAGUUGGGGGUAUUCGUAUUCCAAUGUUAGAGGUGAAAUUCUUGGAUUUUUGGUAAGACGAACAACUGCGAAAGCAUUUACCAAGGAUGUUUUCAUUAAUCAAGAACGAAAGUUAAGGGA
rnacentral:rRNA from 1 species